rnacentral:rRNA from 1 species
AAUCAUGGCUCAGGAUGAACGCUGGCGGCGUGCCUAAUACAUGCAAGUAGAACGCUGAAGGAAGGAGCUUGCUCUUUCCGGAUGAGUUGCGAACAGGUGAGUAACGCGUAGGUAACCUGCCUGGUAGCGGGGGAUAACUAUUGGAAACGAUAGCUAAUACCGCAUAACAGUAGAUAUUGCAUGAUAUCUGCUUGAAAGGGGCAAUUGCUCAACUACCAGAUGGACCUGCGUUG